rnacentral:lncRNA from 1 species
UCACCUGUCCCGAGGGGCGUUUCCCCGCGCCAUGGUUGCCGCAGUCCUAUUGCACCAGGCCCACAGAAGGCGGCUGCACCUGCGCCUACGCAGGGCUGGGAGGCCGAAGGAGAGCGACGCUGGUCGGUGUCCAGGAAUCCCAAGGGACUCUGGCAAGAGGCGCUGCCUUGCCUAUGAGGAAGCUGAAGCACAGAGAGAUUAAGGCACUGGUGGGGACCGGAGAGAUGUCUCAGAGGCUAAGCCUCUCCUGUCCUUGUUGAGGACCUGAAUUCAGU